rnacentral:rRNA from 1 species
UCGAGGAUCUUCGGCAAUGGGCGCAAGCCUGACCGAGCGACGCCGCGUGUGCGAUGAAGGCCUUCGGGUUGUAAAGCACUGUCGAGGGGGAGGAAGCCGCAAGGUUGACCUAUCCCUGGAGGAAGCACGGGCUAAGUUCGUGCCAGCAGCCGCGGUAAGACGAACCGUGCGAACGUUAUUCGGAUUCACUGGGCUUAAAGGGCGCGUAGGCGGCGACUCAAGUCGGGGGUGAAAUCGUUCGGCUUAACCGGACAAGGGCUUCCGAUACUGGGUCGCUGGAGGGAGAUAGGGGUGCGCGGAACUUCCGGUGGAGCGGUGAAAUGCGUAGAUAUCGGAAGGAACGCCGGUGGCGAAAGCGGCGCACUGGAUCUCUGCUGACGCUGAGGCGCGAAAGCCAGGGGAGCGAACGG